UUGCCUUGUCUUUCGUUGUACAGAUGCUUAUGCAGUGUGUGUGUGUGUGUGUGUGUGUGUGUGUGUGUGUGUGUGUGUGUGUGUGUGUUGCCUUGUCUUUCGUUGUACAGAUGCUUAUGCAGUGUGUGUGUGUGUGUGUGUGUGUGUGUAAAUAAGAGGGCCGUUUUGUCUUUCGUUGUACAGAUGCUCAUGCAGUGUGUGUGUGUGUGUGUGUGUGUGUGUGUGUGUGUGUGUGUUGCCUUGUCUUUCGUUGUGCAGUGUGUGUGUGUGUGUGUGUGUGUGUGUGUGUUGCCUUGUCUUUCGUUGUGCAUAUGCUUAUGCAGUGUGUGUGUGUGUGUGUGUGUGUGUUGCCUUGUCUUUCGUUGUGCAUAUGCUUAUGCAGUGUGUGUGUGUGUGUGUGUGUGUGUGUGUUGCCUUGUCUUUCGUUGUACAUAUGCUUAUGCAGUGUGUGUGUGUGUGUGUGUGUGUGUGUGUGUGUGUGUGUAAUAAUAAUAAUAAUAAACGGUUUAUUCUUUAGGCAGUCAACAAACUGAAAAUGUACAUUGGGUGUGGGGAAAUACUUGACAUUAAUCCUAAAGGUAAGUCAAAUCUAGAAGUCAAAUCUAGAAGGGACUAUUGAUUGAUGGUUCGCUCCAUGGUGGGAAUCGCACAGAGUCUGUACCGGUCCGUACGCGGCGCCUUUAGGGGCGUUAUCUUGUUGUGGUGUCUGGUGGCACGGGCGGGGCGAGGCGCGUCAGGCGGUGUGUGUGUGUGUGUGUGUGUGUGUGUGCCUUAUCUUUCGUUGUACAGAUAGUGAUGCAGUGUGUGUGUGUGUGUGUGUGUGUGUGUGUGUGUGUGUGUGUGAGAGUUGCCCUUUCUUUCAUUACACAUAUGGUGAUGGUGUGUGUGUGUGUGUGUGUUGCUGUCUUUUAGUGUACAGAUGGUGAUAAAAUAUAAAUUAAACAUAAGCAUAUAACACAAUUAAAAAAAAAAAACGACAAAAACAUUAAAUCAACUCAGUCUACCAGCCUCACCCCACACCCCAGCCUACUCCAGGUGAGAGAUGGGGAGGAGGAUUUAAAAGAACAUGUUUGCAGUGCACUGUCAACCCUCACCUGCACCGCCUCCCCCAGUGAGCGGGUGUAGGCCUGGGAAUAGAACAUAUGCAGAUGUCUUGGCAGUGCUGUGUACGUAUGUCUGUCUGUCGAUGGUCAAGAAGGAACGUAGCAAAAGUUUAAGAGAAAAUGAAAAUGCUGUGCUCUUAGCCUCUGGAAGAAGACAAGAAUGGGCAACUGAUGAAGACAGAUGAGGGACACAUGCAAGGUGACAUAGAGCAAGCAAAUUCUUACAUCUGGCCAUCAAGUUUGCACUCGUGUCAGGACACCCACUCACAGACCCCUCUCCCCUACUCUCUUUCAUGGGCUCGCAGUAUGUUUGUGCAGAGGCUGCUCGAGUUACAAGCGAGAUACAUCCCAGAAGGUUGCUCAUAAGUUGUUUUGCUCAUAACUCAUUGUAAUU